rnacentral:rRNA from 1 species
UAGAUACCCUGGUAGUCCGCACAGUAAACGAUGUACACUAGGUGUCGGGGCAAGAGCUUCGGUGCCGACGCAAACGCAUUAAGUGUACCGCCUGGGAAGUAUGCCCGCAAGGGUGAAACUCAAAGGAAUUGACGGGGGCCCACACAAGCGGUGGAGCAUGUGGUUUAAUUCGAUGAUACGCGAGAAACCUUACCUGGGUUUGACAUCAAGAGCAAUGACAUAGAGAUAUGGCAGCGUAGCAAUACGGCUC